GCCCUUAUAGCUCAGUUGGUAGAGCACCUGAUUUGUAAUCAGGGGGUCGCGCGUUCGAGUCGUGCUGGGGGCA
rnacentral:tRNA from 1 species